GUCCACGCCCUAAACGAUGCUAACUCGAUGUUUGGGACUAGAUCUUGAGCAUCCAAGGGAACCGAUAAGUUAGCCACCUGGGGAGUACGACCGCAAGGUUGAAACUCAAAGGAAUUGACGGGGUCCGCACAAGCGGUGGAGCAUGUGGUUUAAUUCGAUGAUACGCGAGGAACCUUACCUAGGCUAGAAUGUGAGUGACCGGCACUGAAAAGGUGCUUUUCCUUCGGGACACGAAACAAGGUGCUGCAUGGUUGUCGU
rnacentral:rRNA from 1 species